rnacentral:rRNA from 1 species
AGAGUUUGAUCCUGGCUCAGAUUGAACGCUGGCGGCAGGCUUAACACAUGCAAGUCGAACGGUAACAGGGAGGAGCUUGCUUCUUUGCUGACGAGUGGCGGACGGGUGAGUAAUACUUGGGAAUCUGGCUUAUGGAGGGGGAUAACUACGGGAAACUGUAGCUAAUACCGCGUAAUAUCUUCGGAUUAAAGGGUGGGACUUUCGGGCCACCUGCCAUAAGAUGAGCCCAAGUGGGAUUAGGUAGUUGGUGGGGUAAAGGCCUACCAAGCCGACGAUCUCUAGCUGGUCUGAGAGGAUGACCAGCCACACUGGAACUGAGACACGGUCCAGACUCCUACGGGAGGCAGCAGUGGGGAAUAUUGCACAAUGGGGGGAACCCUGAUGCAGCCAUGCCGCGUGAAUGAAGAAGGCCUUCGGGUUGUAAAGUUCUUUCGGUGAUGAGGAAGGUGUUUGUUUUAAUAGAGCAAGCAAUUGACGUUAGUCACAGAAGAAGCACCGGCUAACUCCGUGCCAGCAGCCGCGGUAAUACGGAGGGUGCGAGCGUUAAUCGGAAUGACUGGGCGUAAAGGGCACGCAGGCGGUGACUUAAGUGAGAUGUGAAAGCCCCGAGCUUAACUUGGGAAUUGCAUUUCAUACUGGGUCGCUAGAGUAUUUUAGGGAGGGGUAGAAUUCCACGUGUAGCGGUGAAAUGCGUAGAGAUGUGGAGGAAUACCGAAGGCGAAGGCAGCCCCUUGGGAAUAUACUGACGCUCAUGUGCGAAAGCGUGGGGAGCAAACAGGAUUAGAUACCCUGGUAGUCCACGCUGUAAACGCUGUCGAUUUGGGGAUUGGGCUUAGAGCUUGGUGCCCGUAGCU